rnacentral:ncRNA from 2 species
UUAAAAUAAAAUAUUCGCACUCAUAUAUACUUAGAAAUAGGGUCUAAGUGUUUCUACCAGGCAACCGUAAAUUGCUGGGCUAUGGGUGUUUAUUGAGCUAAU